CACGCCGCCGCCCGACGCGAAUGAACCGUGCCCAGAUGUCGCCAAGCUGGCCCCGCUGGCCGCCGCGGCACGCUGCGUUCCAACAACGGAAGGUGCCGGAUUGGACGCUGGGGAUACCGCCGACGGUCCGCCAGGGUCGGUUAGAUGGUCACAUUGCCCACCUGGUGGACCGGGGCGUCUCCCCGCAGGAAUCAAGCUGGUGUUCGCCCGCUCGCCGGCCGCCGCGGGGCGAGACGUUCACUCCCCGAUCGCAACAGAGCGCGCUGUCGGCUCUCCGCCCACCGUGGAACCCACUGUUAGUUCCCAGGUCGCCGGGGAACGCACUGUUGAUUCUCCAGCCGCCGCGGGACGCACUGUUAGUUCACCGACCGCCACGGAGCGCACUGUUGGCUCUCCAGCCUCCGUGGAACGCACUGUUGAUUCUCCAGCCGCCACGGGACGCACUGUUAGUUCUCCGACCGCCACGGAGCGCACUGUUGGCUCUCCAGCCUCCGCGGAACGCACUGUUGAUUCUCCAGCCACCGCGGGACGCACUGUUAGUUCUCCGACCGCCACGGAGCGCGCUGUUGGCUCUCCAGCCUCCGCGGAACGCACUGUUGAUUCUCCAGCCGCCGCGGGACGCACUGUUAGUUCUCCGACCGCCACGGAGCGCACUGUUGGCUCUCCAGCCUCCGCGGAACGCACUGUUGAUCCUCCAGCCGCCACGGGACGCACUGUUAGUUUUCCGGCCGCCGCGGAGCGCACCGUUGGUUCUCCGGCCUCCGCGGAACGCACUGUUGAUUCUCCAGGCACCGCGGGACGCACUGUUAGUUCUCCGACCGCCACGGAGCGCACUGUUGGCUCUCCAGCCUCCGCGGAACGCACUGUUGAUUCUCCAGCCGCCGCGGGACGCACUGUUAGUUCUCCGGCCGCCGCGGGGCGCACCGUUGGUUCUCCGGCCGCUGCGAGACGGACCGCUGGUUCUCCGGCCGCUUUGAGAUAUACCACCAUCCGUGAGCAGGUCGUGGCAGAUGUCCCGCCGUCGCCGACGCUGCUCGGCGGCCACAUGUGCGUCAUCCCGUCUACCGACGUGCCGGCCGCGGCACUGCGUCAUAGCCCGCAGCGAGGAGGCGCCAGCAAGUGCCGAACCGACCUGCCCGUCGCCAGGAGGCCUGACCGGCGCGCCGAGAGCACGCAGAGGCAGGCUGCUGCGUCCAUAAGAGGCGGCCAGCUCGUCUACCACGCCAACGGCUGCGUGAUUGACAAGAGACCGCGCAACACGGUGUUGGAGCUGGUAGGGCUGCACAGUCGCGUCCGCACGAGGCCGUGUGUCGUCAUGCUUAAUCUAAAACAGGUGCGAUCUUUGGUGGGCUAUGAACACGGCAGAUGAGAAUCGAUGCAAGCUGUGACAUAUCUGUAAAGAUGAAACACAUCUGCCCUGCAACUGAGACUUAGUCAAUAUGUCAUCCAUUCCGUCGAACUCUAAAGAUGGGUUGGACUGGCGAAAACCUAACCUAGCUGUAUGCAACUAUGCUAUGCAAUACGCAGAGACGCUGCCGCGCCGAUUGUAGCUGUAGGUGGAAUUCGCUGUGCUCAUGGUUGGCCUUAAAGCUGGCAUAAUUAUUACAGCCGGAGCAGGCAGUUUUCAAAGAAAUGAAUGUAGCGUACGAAUGAGGGAAGUGUGCCAAGCUUUCUACGAAUUUAUCCCAAGGCAUUUCCCCGGGGCCUAAGUCAUAGUGAUGAACAGGAAGCCCAUGUGCACCUUUCCCAUUAAAGCGGCUUCAUCAAAUGGAAAUUCCGAGUUGUCGAGGAGGUAUUCUAGAACAUUUGUGUUACGGAAUAAGUCUGGCUCGUUAAAUUUAACCGCGAGUGAAGCACACCCCUUGCAUUUGGACGUGAGAUCGGAAUGUGAGUGAUCAUUUGCAAUAAGCACCCAUUGAGCGGGCUAGGGGAGAUGCGCACCUGUCCAUGGAACCAGAGAGACCCCUGGCGGCAGUGACGAUCCAGUUUUAAUUAUUUGGCCAACGUCCAUCGGUUGGGUCCCCCACAGUGCCAGUUUGAACCGUCAUAUCGUCGGUAGGCGCCCAGGUGAAGAAUCAUCAUACCCCGAAUCGUUUUAAAUUGGAUGGAGCUGGCCAAACUGGUUCCGAAGUAGAGGUCCUGGCAGUCUCAACACAUUCAGUCCAACGAAAACAUUCCCACUUUUAAACCAACAAAACGUUUUUGCCCUCCGGCCGGAGCGCUGCGGAAAAAAACAACCGAAGGGGAAGUACCGCUAGCGCAUGCUCACCUUUCAUUAGUAGUCACGUCUCAUUGGUGAUCAUCUCGCAUCGGUGGUAACUUGUCAUUGGUGUUCAACUCUCAUUGUUGGUCGCUUACCUCUUUUUGGUGAUCACCUCUCAUUGGCGUUCACCUCGCGUUGGUGAUCAUCUAAUAUUGGUGGUGGCCUCCCAGUGGUGAGCACCUCUCGUUGGUCGUCAUCUCUCCUUGGCUUUCUCCUAUUGGUGAUCGCCUCUUAUUUGCGGUCACCUCUCACUGGCGAUCACCUCUUGUCGAUCUCAUGCUAAAGCCAAGACAUUGCAUAAGGAAUGAUGCCAAAAUCUGGUGUGUUCCGCUUCUUCGUACGUGUUGAGGUCAAAGACCACCUUUAUUUGGUUGGCCUGAUGAUUUUAGAUUUUUGUCAACCACAAUUAACACGAUUGAAUUCUAAAACUAUGCUAAUCUUAGCCGUCUUAACAUUUUAGUGAUCAUAAGCUGUGGCGAUCGUUUACGGAUAUUAUGCAUCAAUAUCGUGUGCUUGCUUGCACAGACGUCUCGGCAGUGCCACGCCAGUGUUGGUGUGUGCAAGGGUAGUAAGCAAAGGUGCCGUUUUCCGGAAGUUCUCGUCCAAAGUCAAAUCCAAAGUCUAAGGGUGGGCCAUCUGUCCGUCCAGUGUCGAAAAAGUUAAGCUGUCCAAAAAAUUCAAUUUUGCAUAUCAAAUAACAACUUCCUUCAUCAGCUAACCCAUUCAGUUGUUGCGUCGUUGCAUUCACUCGCUCGAACUGAAUUAAAACAAAGAAAAUUAUCGUGGGUUAGUCAUAUCUGUGUGCAUUAGAUAAGUUGAUGCUGACCAAUUUACCACGCGGCAGAAUGAUAUCGGGUGUCAAAAAAAUCUGAAGCGUUUGGGCCCUACCGUCUUGUUUCCAAAUUUGACUUAAGACAUUUUUGGAAUUCCAAAAAUUGACAAUCCAGUGGACACCUCUAUAAGCAAGAAGAAAGGAGAGAUAGGUCAAAACACGCAUGCAUUCGCUGAUGUCUUUUGGCUGGCGAUCGACUGCAACGAUGCUGCAAGCAUUCCACUUCCGUUUUAUGUAUGGUAUACACAGUUUGUAGCAUCCUUCGAGUAUUGAAACGUUUGUUUUUUGUAUUGUCAUUUGUGGUAUGCACAUUGCGUAGCAUCCCUCGGCUGUCGAAACAUUUUUUGUAUUGACGUCAAGGUUUUAAAGUACGCAAAAGAAAACAUGCAAACAUGUCUUAGGAUUGGGAGUGUUAUUUCGUUCGACUACCCGGGAACAAUCGUCUUGUCCCGCUUUACCGUUCUGUGCGCUGGCUGUCCCUUUGAAGACUUGGAAAGGCUUAGCGCAAGCAGGAACAAGUGCCGCGUUUUCUAUCAGACCAGUCGACAAUUCAUGGCCCGCCCUCCUUUUCAGGUUGUGCGCGUAGAAGGAAGCGCGUUCGGUAUAUUCGGCUGAAUGUCCGCUGGGGUUUUGUUAAUGCAAUUUUACCAGACUGGCAUACUGUGCUACGCGAUUUUGCAAUGCGCGUUGGGAUUUUGCAAUCCGCGUUCUUUGCGAACAGGUGCCUUUGUGACGCGCAUGUGUUCUUGAAUGGCGAACAUAACACAUGCCACGAUGUGGCGUAACUGGCGUGGGCUUUCAUAUCUGUUAUUGUUUUCCUAAUGGGAUAUGUGUAAUAGAGUGCUGUGACAAUGCCGGCGGACCUAUGCGUUUAGUGCUGAGCGCAAACAAGUUGUGUAACAUCUGGUGUUAUAUGUUACAUACUAGCUUUACCUUUGACUUUAAGGAGUUUUCGUCUGUUUCUCGUGAGCACCUUUGGACCAUUGGGUGCAGAACCAAAGCAGGGAAAUUUACAAGUCCUACAGUAGCAAAGCUUUAAAGAAAGCUGUCGCCUUCCAUUGUUGUGUGCUGAUUGUAUUGAGGCGUGAAAUACAU